rnacentral:lncRNA from 1 species
UUCCUGCUCUCCCGUAGCCAUGGGGACAGGGUGGGUGAACAAGGCCCCUCCUCGCUUCCCGCCGUGCUGUGCACACUGCCUAUUCUGCGCCACACAGCAGGCGCUGUUCCUCCCAAGCGUGGCCUUGGCAUGAAGCCCACACGCACCCACACAGCAGGCGCUGUUCCUCCCAAGCGUGGCCUUGGCAUGAAGCCCACAUGCACCCACACAGCAGGCACUGUUCCUCCCAAGGGCGGCCUUGGCAUGAAGCCCACACGCACCCAUACAAAAGGCACGGCGGCCUGAGACACAAUGGCUAGUUCUGCCAACUCACACAGCACAGGGGUCUGCUGCGACGGGAUCCACAUCACAAAAUCACCACAGGUGCUGGGCAGGUGGGGAAGACUGAGUCCUGGCCCAGAUUACGGGGUCUGACUUAAUCAAGACCCAUCACUGAAGAUGCAAAAUAAAGGAAGUGAGCAUUAGCCCCCGUUAGGUGCAAGAAAACAAGAACUCGAGUUCCAGGACCUGAGGGCUGUCCUGCACUGCAUCCACUCCUUCAUAGCAGCCAAGGUGGCCUCCGUGGACCCCGGCUUCAUGGACAGUCAGAGUCUUGCCAGAAAAUACAUGUACAGCAGCUAAAGGUUGUUUCUGUUGAGUGCUGAAAAAUUAAAUUAUUUUCGUAAGAAAUGAUUCUUUCCUGCAGAAUAUUGCAACUUUGUGUUGUUUUAUGAUGAGCCUAUAGUUGUGAUACCAAUAAAACAUGUCACUAGUUUCCAAAGACGGGUCCUCCUUGUUAAAUCUGACAUGGGGGAUGCCUGGUCCCCUCUUCCCAUGAGUCUCCCCCCAACGAGGAGCCCCAGCGUCCCCCACACAAGUCUGUGGCUCAGACUCCAGUCCACCUGAUGCAGUUCACGCCCCAGCCCGCAUCCCAGCAGCAUGAGAACCAUGUGGGCAUUGCACAUGCCACUUCCCACGUUGGCAAAACCCAGAUUUAUUUUCAUAAAAUAUGUCAUCGAAAAUUCUGAGCGAGUGCCACGUUUCUCCUCAGGAAGGAAAGGGUCUCCUUUGCAGUGGGCUGUCAUUUCCUUUUUCCUCCAGUGGGGAUCAGAGUGACAGGAGUAUUUGAGAAACAGGGAUUGGUC